rnacentral:rRNA from 1 species
ACAGCAGUCGCCACGGUAAAACGGAGGAUCCGAGCGUCAUCCGGAAUUAUUGGGUUUAAAGGGUGCGUAGGCGGGUAGAUAAGUCAGUGGUGAAAGACGGUGGCUCAACCAUCGCAGUGCCGUUGAUACUGUUUAUCUUGAAUAUGGAUGAGGUAGGCGGAAUGUGGCAAGUAGCGGUGAAAUGCAUAGAUAUGCCACAGAACACCGAUUGCGAAGGCAGCUUACCAAGGCAAAAUUGACGCUGAGGCACGAAAGCGUGGGGAUCGAACAGGAUUAGAUACCCGCGUAGUCCCUGUCUCUUAUAC